rnacentral:rRNA from 1 species
UACGUAGGGGGCAAGCGUUGUCCGGAUUUAUUGGGCGUAAAGAGCGUGUAGGCGGCCAGGUAGGUCAGCUGUGAAAACUCGAGGCUCAACCUCGAGACGUCGGUUGAAACCAUCUGGCUAGAGUCCGGAAGAGGAGAGUGGAAUUCCUGGUGUAGCGGUGAAAUGCGCAGAUAUCAGGAGGAACACCAAUGGCGAAGGCAGCUCGCUGGGACGUGACUGACGCUGAGACGCGAAAGCGUGGGGAGCAAACAGG